UUAGACGUUAAUUGACAAUUUAUCAAUUACUUCAAAUGUAGUUUCGCUUUUACGCUGUCAAGUUUUCUUUCACGCCAAAAUUUUCCACAAAAUUUAAUUAAUUUAAUGUUGAUUGUGUGAAAUUGGACUCGCUGAAAAAUAGAGGAUCAUGGACCAAUUUGUGUCAACGUAUCGCAAAGACUUUUUAUGGCCGUACAUUCGUACCUUCGGCCGGAAACCGGAUGCCGCAACGAUGGGGGGCGGUGAGCCAUCUGACAUGAUCGCAUGCCGCUGCGUUGGCCAGGCCGAAGAGGAAAUGAAACUUUUAGCGCCAAACAUUUACGACAAGGAUGUGUACAUGAAAUCCGGCCCGGCCACGCCACUCAUGGAUCCAAAAUUGUAUCCGGCACGCGUGGGCCCGCCACCGGAAUCGGAGAGUCAGAGAUUUAAUCAACCAAAUGUGUUUUUGGAAAAAUUGAAAUUAAAGUAUCCUUUCCUCUAUGAAGUUCUAAAAUCUGCCCCACCGGAUGAUUUAAUGUCUCGUAUCAAUAAAAAUCGUUUGCGGACCACUUACGAGGUCGACUUCUGUAAUCUACAGGAAUAUCCUGCGGCUCCGUACGAUGAAUUAUUAAGAGCGUCUGGUGUGCGUGGCUUGCCUCCAUGUCCCGAACCCGAGCGCCUUCCGGGCGAUCCUUGCCGCCCCAAUCAGCGACCUUCGGCAUUCAAAGCAAGCGCGGGCGGUGGACUCAUCGCACCGAAAUUCGGCGAAAAAUGUGGCGGAGGUGCAAUAUAUCCAGCCACCGGUCCAGUGAUUCCCAGCAGGAUGGCGAUUGUAGGCAUGGGUUCUUCGGAGUAUCAAGAUGCCGUCAGCAAAUUGGGCGGGUUAAUCAUUAGGAAUAAGAUUCAUCAUCGCCCCCAUAAAUAAAUGUUGGUUAGAUGAAUGUGUUGUAGAAUCUAAAUUUAAUUUUAUAUGUAGUAACGGCAUUAUAGGAUGGCACCCACACAGAACGCACGAAUUCGACGAACACAUCAAUUCCUACGGGAAAAUGAUUCGAUUGGACCGGACACAUGCGCAUGGGGGG